AUUGAACGCUGGCGGCAGGCCUAACACAUGCAAGUCGAACGGUAACAGGAAGAAGCUUGCUUCUUUGCUGACGAGUGGCGGACAGGUGAGUAAUGUCUGGGAAACUGCCUGAUGGAGGGGGAUAACUACUGGAAACGGUAGCUAAUACCGCAUAACGUCGCAAGACCAAAGAGGGGGACCUUCGGGCCUCUUGCCAUCGGAUGUGCCCAGAUGGGAUUAGCUAGUAGGUGGGGUAACGGCUCACCUAGGCGACGAUCCCUAGCUGGUCUGAGAGGAUGACCAGCCACACUGGAACUGAGACACGGUCCAGACUCCUACGGGAGGCAGCAGUGGGGAAUAUUGCACAAUGGGCGCAAGCCUGAUGCAGCCAUGCCGCGUGGAUGAAGAAGGCCUUCGGGUUGUAAAGUACUUUCAGCGGGGAGGAAGGGAGUAAAGUUAAUACCUUUGCUCAUUGACGUUACCCGCAGAAGAAGCACCGGCUAACUCCGUG
rnacentral:rRNA from 1 species